rnacentral:rRNA from 1 species
GCUGGCGGCGUGCCUAAUACAUGCAAGUAGAACGCUGAAGCUUGGUGCUUGCACCGAGCGGAUGAGUUGCGAACGGGUGAGUAACGCGUAGGUAACCUGCCUGGUAGCGGGGGAUAACUAUUGGAAACGAUAGCUAAUACCGCAUAACAGUAGAUGUUGCAUGACAUUUGCUUGAAAGGGGCAAUUGCUCCACUACCAGAUGGACCUGCGUUGUAUUAGCUAGUUGGUGAGGUAACGGCUCACCAAGGCGACGAUACAUAGCCGACCUGAGAGAGUGAUCGGCCACACUGGGACUGAGACACGGCCCAGACUCCUACGGGAGGCAGCAGUAGGGAAUCUUCGGCAAUGGACGGAAGUCUGACCGAGCAACGCCGCGUGAGUGAAGAAGGUUUUCGGAUCGUAAAGCUCUGUUGUAAGAGAAGAACGAGUGUGAGAGUGGAAAGUUCACACUGUGACGGUAACUUACCAGAAAGGGACGGCUAACUACGUGCCAGCAGCCGCGGUAAUACGUAGGUCCCGAGCGUUAUCCGGAUUUAUUGGGCGUAAAGCGAGCGCAGGCGGUUAGAUAAGUCUGAAGUUAAAGGCUGUGGCUUAACCAUAGUACGCUUUGGAAACUGUUUAACUUGAGUGCAGAAGGGGAGAGUGGAAUUCCAUGUGUAGCGGUGAAAUGCGUAGAUAUAUGGAGGAACACCGGUGGC